AUCAGAAACUCCUCACACACAUUUUUCUGAUAGUAAUAAGUACUCGAAUAAUAAUUUGAGUACUUUUGGUUUUUAGCUUUG
rnacentral:sRNA from 1 species